CUGGCAGUACAUGAAAAAGAGGAGAUGAUUGCUUUCUUUAAGCUUUAUUUUAUUUGUAUUUGACUGCGUUAUUUCAAGGCUAUCCUGACCCAAAAUCUCUGUUUUCAGUUAAACAAAAUUACUUGUCGGCUGUGGCUUAUUUUGUGAUCUCUUGGAGGUUCAAACAGCUGGAUCACCUCAUAGGGAAAUUCAUCCCCAAAGAAUACUUAUUGUUCCUUGGUCUGCAGCUGAAAUAUCUAACCUUGUCCUCUCCCUCUUUUUUUGGUCACUGCAUAAGCAAUGUGCUUCUGGGCAGGCUUGUAUUGAUCUAAAAAGCCAUCAUAAAUUUUCCAGGUUCGGAUUCAAGUUGCAUUAACUGGAAAAGGCAGAUCACUGUAAAAUGCAAUAUUCUCAAGAAUCAAUAAAUCUUCCAUUCGAAACUGAAGAGGAGUUUCACUGCUGCCCCCUCCUACCCCCUGCUCAAAGGAAGCAGCAGAUCUCUCAGUGCAAGAGUGAAAGCAAGCUGAGAGCUCAUGUCUGCAUCAGCCCUGCUCCUUCACAUGGCAGCACCCAGGCGUGGUGCAGGAGCAGGAGCAAAAUGGGUGGGGUUGGUAAGUCAAUGCAGAAUGCUUCGGGCUUACCAGGCAUCUCGCUGCCUUAGUGGAAUUGAGAUGUGCCAGGCCUACAUCAAUCAUCUUUACAAUUUCCUUCUGUGUUCCCCUUUUUAUUACGUUCAAGUGUUAAAAUUUAAUGACGCAUUUCAAUGUUUUCUAAUUUAAUUUCAACAAAGGACUUUUUUUUUUUCCCUUUCGAAUAUCCUUCAGACAACAAGAAUAACUGAGUAUCGUCUUACUUUUUGUCCUCCUCCUGCAUGUUUUUCAUUACAAAAUGGGCAUCUGGUCACAAAAUCUCAUUGCAAAACACAUUGCUGCAUCAGACUUGUUGCUGGCUGUUUUGCCGUGAACAGCUGAUCAUGGAGAUCUCAUCCAGCACAGCAUUUAUCCCAGGGCAUGGAGCUGUUCCCAACACGAGGUGAAGUUCUGCCUCAGGUACCACAGCAACUGCUGUUCUGCUGCCUUUCACCAUGCAGAGGAUUCAUUCAAAGGCGUUUCUUAUGUGGCCACCGUGGGCUGGCCUGCAGAUGGAGAAGAUCCUGCGGCCAGCAGCAGGUGUGCCAUGCUGGGGGCCUCCAGCAGCAACAUUGCUCUCAAGGGCAGGUGGAAGCUGGGUAGUGCAGAGGAUCCAUGCAGCAUGGGAACAGGUGAGAUUUCUGAGCAUCAGUGGGUGACAGAGCUCAGUGGCUCAGUGCUGUGCAGGGAGGCACUCGGCAGGGAACCAGCCAGGAAACCCAACUCUGCUGACAUAGAAAACACUGCAACGACAGCUUGCUCCCAGGUGGCAGGGAGUACGGGGUCACAGAGCAGUCAGGAGAGUCACAGCAGAUUUCAGUACAAAGAGAUUUACUCAAAUUCUCUGAACAUCAUUUAUAUAAAAGGAAGGUAUAGAAAUCACAGAAAUGAUGUGGAUGCUAUUUUCUGUUCCUUCUGUGACCAGAGCUAGAAAUAAUGCAGAAAGAGCAUUGUAGGGCCCUUUUUUUCAAAGCCACCUUGCAUUACCUUUGCUCUGAUCCUGCUGAACUCUCUCAAAGAAAACUAGGUCA
rnacentral:lncRNA from 7 species